GCAGCCGGGCGGUCCGUCGCGGUCCUCACGGGCCAAGGCCCGGCGGGGGCUGAGGAAAGUCCGGGCAACGCAGAGCACCAUACUUUCUAACGGAAAGCCGCGGGCGACCGCAGAGACAACGUGACAGAAAACAACCGCCCUCCCCCUUCUGCGGGGAGAGCAAGGGUGAAAAGGUGGGGUAAGAGCCCACCGGGCGCCACCGCGAGAUGGCGCGCCGCACGUCUUAUGGGUUGCAAGGUCAAGUAUACCGGCAUUCAAGGG
rnacentral:RNase_P_RNA from 1 species